UGGGGAAUUUUGGACAAUGGGCGAAAGCCUGAUCCAGCAAUGCCGCGUGUGUGAAGAAGGCCUUCGGGUUGUAAAGCACUUUUGUCCGGAAAGAAAUCCUUGGCUCUAAUACAGUCGGGGGAUGACGGUACCGGAAGAAUAAGCACCGGCUAACUACGUGCCAGCAGCCGCGGUAAUACGUAGGGUGCAAGCGUUAAUCGGAAUUACUGGGCGUAAAGCGUGCGCAGGCGGUUUGCUAAGACCGAUGUGAAAUCCCCGGGCUCAACCUGGGAACUGCAUUGGUGACUGGCAGGCUAGAGUAUGGCAGAGGGGGGUAGAAUUCCACGUGUAGCAGUGAAAUGCGUAGAGAUGUGGAGGAAUACCGAUGGCGAAGGCAGCCCCCUGGGCCAAUACUGACGCUCAUGCACGAAAGCGUGGGGGAGCAAACAGGAUUAGAUACCCUGGUAGUCCACGCCCUAAAACGAUGUCAACUAGUUGUUGGGGGAUUCAUUUCCUUAGUAACGUAGCUAACGCGUGAAGUUGACCGCCUGGGGAGUACGGUCGCAAGAUUAAAACUCAAAUGAAUUGACGGGG
rnacentral:rRNA from 1 species